rnacentral:rRNA from 1 species
GAUGAACGCUGGCGGCGUGCCUAAUACAUGCAAGUCGAGCGAACGGACGAGAAGUUUUCUUCUCUGAAGUUAGCGGCGGACGGGUGAGUAACACGUGGAUAACCUACCUUUAAGACUGGGGUAACUUCGGGAAAGCGGAGCUAAUACCGGAUAAUAUGUUGAACCGCAGGGUUCAAAAGACAAAUACGGUCUUGCUGUCACUAAUAGAUGGAUCCGAGCUGCAUUAGCUAGUUGGUAAGGUAACGGCUUACCAAGGCAACGAUGCAUAGACGACCUGAGAGGGUGAUCAGGCACACUGGAACUGAGACACGGUACAGACUCCUACGGGAGGCAGCAGUAGGGAAUCUUGCACAAUGGGCGAAAGCCUGACGGAGCAACGCCGCGUGUGUGAUGAAGGUCUUCGGAUCGUAAAGCUCUGUAAUUUGGGAGGAAGAUAAGUGUAUUUAACUCUGCCCAUCUUGACGGUACCUAAUCAGAAAGCCCCGGCUAACUUCGUG